GCCGGGUAGCUGGACCUCACACCACAACCAUUGUCUCUCUUCACUAGAGGUAGUAGUAGUAGAGCCGUAGCUGCUGGUGCAGAGCAGGCGUUAGAAAUCUUGCUGCUGUGUCUAGAGAAUCAGGAGAAGGCAAGCAUGCGUUCCAUCUAGCUUCUCUAGAUGUCCUGCUCCUUCUCUUUCUUUACUCAUGCCAUGUCGCUGUUGCUAGUACUUCUCUAUAUAGCUAGUCUGUAGCACUAUUCUUGUUGUUAAUUCUUUCACAUCAGCUAGUGUGUCCUUGUACAGCACGCAUGGUGGUUUGGAUCUGCAUGCUAGUUGUGAAAGAUGCAUGCGUCCUAUCUCCCAAGAACUCCUCUAGAUUAUUUUGUCUUUUCUUUCUUUCUAUCUUGUACCACAUGUCUUAUUCUGACUAAGGAUGCCUCACUUCUACUUGUUGGACCGGUACACUCGUUAUGCUAAGAAUAGCACAUGCAAGACUAGCUAAUCUUGUGCAGAAGCUAGAGAUGAUAUAUUGGUGAUCUUUUGAGAUAAUAUUCCUCUUCUAAUGUUCCAGUCCUAAUGAAAAAAUCUAACACUAAGGCAUCACGACGGCAAAAAUACUGUACCGGUCACAGUAUAGGUAUGGGACUGUCGAGAUUCUCCGCCAAGAACGACACCCGUUCGGAAGCGUGUCGAUGAUGGAUCCGUAGGAGCGAUCGACAUUAGUAAGGUCGGGUAGUCGGGUCUUAGCGGGUAAAAGAAUCUUGCUCAACUAGAGCAUGUGUGGUUUCAGUUGAGACUGUUGACGUCAGAGUACCCCUCUUAAGAGUGUAAAAGCGUGAAAUUUCACCCCUGUGACUCCCGGAUUGGGAAGCUUGCGGUCAUGUGUGAUGCCAAAAUUAUUAUUCCUAAGCACGUCUUUAUUUUUCUACCAUUCUUGUUUCUUUUCUUUUCUUACGGCUAAUCCAUAUACUUGCUUCUGGUGUCACAUAUUUUCCCUGCUACAUGUGUGCUUGCUGAGUAUGUUAUCAGACUCAUUCUUGCUAUCUUAUUUAUUUUUGCAGAGAUAAGCAAUGGAAAUGAUGGUGAACAGUAGAAGUAGUACCACGGGAGGGGAUGAAAUAAAGAAACUUGCAUGCAUGUACUAGCAAGAACACUUGUAGUCGUUUCUAUGAUAAUGAAUAAAAAUGUUCCCAGUGUACUACCUUUGUUAACAUGAUGCCCUAACACGC
rnacentral:lncRNA from 1 species